GGAGCAACAGUUGAAAGACCUGACUGUUCCACCUGCUGGUUUUGUGCCACCACCCUCAGUUGCAUACCUGGCUGGCAGAUGAUAGCCUUUCAGGGCUAUGGAGGACUCCCAAUGUAGCAAUGGAUACCUCCAGUAGUCCUUGACACAUUCCAUGAUCAUGUGCUCAGGCCUCCGGUUGCCUAGUAAUUACAAAGGGCAUCAAAGCUUAAAUCAAUCCCAGUUGUUUAUGCAGAUGUUGGAAACAGUAGCUCUCCUCCUACAUAUAAAUACUUCUGGCAUGCUAAUAUAUCUGGAUUUUAGAGGAAUAGGCAAAGAUUUUUGGUGGAACUGGCAAGGAAUACCCAUCCACUGUUAUUUAUUUCUUCAAUAAAAUUGGCCAAUUUAUCUGGUUGUCU